GUGAGUAGUUCAGAGUUUGAUCCUGGCUCAGGAUGAACGCUAGCGACAGGCCUAACACAUGCAAGUCGAGGGGCAGCACGAAUCAAGCUUGCUUGAUUUGGUGGCGACCGGCGCACGGGUGCGUAACAGGUGUGCAAUCUGUCCAUAAUCGGGGAAUAGCCCAGCGAAAGUUGGAUUAAUGCUCCAUGUGAGUUUUAGAGGCAUCUCUUUAAUUUGAAACGCAAGGAUUAUGGGUGAGCACGCUUCUGAUUAGGUAGUUGGUGAGGUAACGGCUCACCAAGCCGACGAUCAGUAGGGGUUCUGAGAGGAAGGUCCCCCACAUUGGAACUGAGACACGGUCCAA
rnacentral:rRNA from 1 species